UACAGAGGUCCCAAGCGUUGUUCGGAUUCACUGGGCGUAAAGGGUGCGUAGGUGGUUGGGUAAGUUUGAUGUGAAAGCUCCGAGCUUAACUCGGAAAUUGCAUUGAAUACUAUCUGGCUAGAGGGUUGGAGGGGGGACUGGAAUUCUCGGUGUAGCAGUGAAAUGCGCAGAUAUCAGGAGGAACACCGAUUGCGAAGGGCAGCUCGCUGGGACGUUACUGACGCUGAGACGCGAAAGCGUGGGGAGCAAACAGG
rnacentral:rRNA from 1 species